rnacentral:lncRNA from 1 species
CCAACCUUUUCACUUAUAGAAUUUGUAAUAUCUUUUGUGCAGCAAUGACUGUAAUAGGAAAUCCAGAAAUUAUAUGAGAACUGAUUUUUUUUUUUCAAUUUUACAUGUCUGUUGUAAAUUUCCUUUUAAUAAAAGGAGUAAACCUUGUUUCUGCCUCCUCCCACUCUUUUGGCUUGGUGCUUACUCAGAGUAAGCCAACUUGCUGCAUCUUACAGUUAUGGAUAUUAACUGAGAAGGGCCCCCCUAAGAAAGCAUGUGAACAGGGAUACACCAUAGUGAAUACGGGCAAGUCCGGAGCUCCCUGUCUCAGUCUCUCCCAGCCCUCCAUCCCCUUCCAGGAUUCUCUAGUUACCUCAUCACAAAAGACAACCGACUUCUCAGCUAGAACAACAAGUUGUGCAGCGAAUCUCAGUGAUUCAGCCAAGUAGCAGAUAGGGUCACUGGCUUAAUUGGAAUCUCAGUAGCCAAGCGAACUAGGAAUCCCUUAGCCUGGGUCCAGCGACACAGAUCGAAGUGUUUCCGUGUUUUGAUAGAGAAUGAAAAUGACGCAGAGUUUAACUGACAGGAUAUUGACCACCGUCGUUUCUUUAUUACCCCAGUUUAGGUACCAGAGUCUAGGGCUCCCUUAUAUGCGCCCAGGGGCCACCAAGAUCUCCCACCUUCCCCAAAUGCGUAAAAGGCUAAAAACAGCCUUCCCCAGCUCCCCAGCUCCACGGCGUGGCUUCUUGCUGCUUUGUUUACCAUAUAAGUCACACCAGGGGUUCACUCUUUGCCCUCUCCCCUGCUUUAAAGCCGGAUGCGGUAAGAUGCUGAGAAACAUCCCCAAACUCUCGUUCAGCCCAGGUCAACCACAGAAAGCUUCACAGAUCCGGUCCCCAGCCCUAAAGAGAAACCUUGCAGAGCCCGAGCCUCUGGAUCCAGUAACCCCCAGGGAUGUCCGCUUCCCAAGAGGGAGCAGGCUUCCCAGGCAGCUUGAGAAACUUAACCGAGAUCCCAGAAACGAGAGGAGGUGCGGCUCCGGCCAGAUGGAGCUCUGAGGCGACACCCUUUUUACCUGCAAAGUUGCGAUCUUCUGGCCGAAGGGGGUUGGAGUCGAGGCCGGCGGCGCGAGUGCUCUGCCCGGUGCCAGCACGCCCGGCAAAUUCCGACGGGAUCUCCUUAGUCUUCGCCGAGUUUCCGAGCAUUCCAAGGAAAACGCACGAAGCUGGAGCCCACGCAGCUGGCACCGAACUGGGCGGAGUGAGGAUGCUCUGAGAGUGAUGCCGCGCGAGGCGGGGGAGGGGAGGGCCUGGGGCGAGGGGGAGGUGAGCUCCAGGGGAGGAGAACCUCACCCACCCCGGCCCUUAAGGACCCCUCCGGGUAAAGAGCGUUCCCACGGCUGUCAGCCGACGAACCCAGAGGAAGGCACCCCUCCCUGCAUCUCCGGUGGCGGCCUGACUCCGGGUCAGUGCAGCCCGGGUUCGGAGGGGACCACUCGGAAAGAAGCGCGUCCCACGCGCCGCUCUGCGAGGCGGUGGAGGUGGACCCGCGCGAGGGCAGGACCCGGGGAAGGGCCUCCGCCGCCCCGGGGCCAGAUGUCUGGGGUCAGCCCGUUGGGCAGGCGAGCUCACCGCAUGCCAGCUGUUAUCCAGUCCAGUGUGUGGCCAGUACCCCACCCUGUGACCCUGGAGGCGAGCCAGACACACCUCCAGGCUCCGGGCGGGCUCACCCCCCAGGCUGUCCGACUUCAGUUCGCGUCAGAACCCGGCCGCUGAUCACCCUGCUCCCACCCAAGUAACAAGACCCGCGCGGCAGGUCCCCCGACUUGAAAAAGUAGCCCCCACCCUCCUCACCCGGUAUCUCGCAAAGCUUCUCCCUCUCCGGCUCCCGGGGGUCCCGGCACCCCCUCUCGCGUCCUCAAGGUGUCAGACUUCCCCUGCAAGAGCAGGCGUCUGUGACUCGCUACUAGUGUCCACAAUGGAGACAGUCGCAACGAGUAAAUGACGAGGCGGCGUUCCACCCACCCUCAAUCCAGCUCGCUCUUUCCAACGAAAUCAGUAAGUUCCCAAAUUUUAAACAAACCCCCUCCCCUCCCCCGCCCCCCGCCAAGUGAGCACCAGCCUAGGGGCGCGAGGUCCAGUUGCUCCAGGUGCGAUGUAUUGUAUUGAGUGUUUGUGUGUGUGUGUGUGUGUGUGUGUGUGUGUGUGUGUAUGCUGGUNNNNNNNNNNNNNNNNNNNNNNNNNNNNNNNNNNNNNNNNNCAGGAUAAAAGUUAUUUUCUGGCCAUCACUGUGGUGUUCACACCUGAAAAUCAGAUUAAAGUGUUUAGAGGAAAUGUCAUAUAUAUUGGCAAAGUUGGCAAUAACUUACUUGUUGGUCACUGCGGCGCGGUGAUUCCCAGCUUGUCACUCCGGGAGGCUUGCUUGGUCACGACCCUGGGACUGGAGAGUCCAAUCUGUAAAAUAGAGAGUGGAGUCCACGCGGAAUCCUAGCUAGCGAUUACUCGGCUUGAGACCCUUGGUUCUACUGGAUUCCGUUUCAUUUCCCAAAAGCCCUGGGGUGAGCCACUGGUCUCCAGUCGCAUCUCAGCAGAUGCUUCUCUGGCUUUGCGCUUGUGCAACAGGAGUGGCCACUCUUUCUCCCCGUCCCAGCCACGCGUUGUUACACCUUCUGGGAAUCAGGGCUCUGACGACUGCGGGGAGGCGGACCAUUUUCUUCCCAAGAAAUAUUCCCCCAAGGGAGUUAAGGGUAGGCGGCAAGCUGGACCCACGCAGCCUCCAAAGCCCAAAAUUAAGAGAAUUUCCUUCUUGGCUGUCUUAUUUUCUACUUAUUUNNNNNNNNNNNNNNNNNNNNNNNNNNNNNNNNNNNNNNNNNNNNNNNNNNNNNNNNNNNNNNNNNNNNNNNNNNNNNNNNNNNNNNNNNNNNNNNNNNNNNNNNNNNNNNNNUUAAUCACUUUUCUUAUUCCUAAAUGUUUCUUUCUCUCUAGUUUACAGCUCUUCUCAUGGGUUUAUCCUAAGCCCAGCGUUGACUUCUGUUGUAAAUUUCUAAGUCGUCUCCUCCCCCAUAUGAAUACCCAGUUGGCCAGAGGCAAAGGUAGUUCCUACAGUAUCUCUCCAGAAAACAAGUGUACAAACAACAGGGGGAUUCUUUUCUUUCCUUGAAUCUUUCUUAUUUUACUUCUUUACCACAAAAGUACUUUAAUAUCUUUAAACACUUUGUAGAAUGUUUUCAUGCUAAACAGUGAUGAAAUAUGCAGGAAUACGUGUAUCUGUCAAAGAAAUAGAGGAAAACAACAGAAUGGGAACGACUAGAGAUCUCUUCA